rnacentral:rRNA from 1 species
UGAACUCGCUGUGAAGAUGCAGUGUACCCGCGGCAAGACGGAAAGACCCCGUGAACCUUUACUAUAGCUUGACACUGAACAUUGAGCCUUGAUGUGUAGGAUAGGUGGGAGGCUUUGAAGUGUGGACGCCAGUCUGCAUGGAGCCGGCCUUGAAAUACCACCCUUUAAUGUUUGAUGUUCUAACGUGGACCCGUGAUCCGGGUUGCGGACAGUGUCUGGUGGGUAGUUUGACUGGGGCGGUCUCCUCCUAAAGAGUAACGGAGGAGCACGAAGGUUGGCUAAUCCUGGUCGGACAUCAGGAGGUUAGUGCAAUGGCAUAAGCCAGCUUGACUGCGAGCGUGACGGCGCGAGCAGGUGCGAAAGCAGGUCAUAGUGAUCCGGUGGUUCUGAAUGGAAGGGCCAUCGCUCAACGGAUAAAAGGUACUCCGGGGAUAACAGGCUGAUACCGCCCAAGAGUUCAUAUCGACGGCGGUGUUUGGCACCUCGAUGUCGGCUCAUCACAUCCUGGGGCUGAAGUAGGUCCCAAGGGUAUGGCUGUUCGCCAUUUAAAGUGGUACGCGAGCUGGGUUUAGAACGUCGUGAGACAGUUCGGUCCCUAUCUGCCGUGGGCGCUGGAGAACUGAGGGGGGCUGCUCCUAGUACGAGAGGACCGGAGUGGACGCAUCACUGGUGUUCGGGUUGUCAUGCCAAUGGCACUGCCCGGUAGCUAAAUGCGGAAGAGAUAAGUGCUGAAAGCAUCUAAGCACGAAACUUGCCCCGAGAUGAGUUCUCCCUGACCCUUUAAGGGUCCUGAAGGAACGUUGAAGACGACGACGUUGAUAGGCCGGGUGUGUAAGCGCAGCGAUGCGUUGAGCUAACCGGUACUAAUGAACCGUGAGG